UUAUGGCCAUAUCACAGUGAAACACUGGUUUUCAUACGAUCACCAAAGUUAAGUAACAUUGAACUUCGUCAGUACCUAGAUGGGUGACCAGCUGGGAAUAUCAAGUGCUAU